UGGGGAAUAUUGGACAAUGGGCGAAAGCCUGAUCCAGCCAUGCCGCGUGCGUGAAGAAGGUCUUCGGAUUGUAAAGCACUUUAAGUUGGGAGGAAGGGUAGUAACUUAAUACGUUGCUAUUUUGACGUUACCGACAGAAUAAGCACCGGC
rnacentral:rRNA from 1 species